rnacentral:rRNA from 1 species
GAUGAACGCUGGCGGCGUGCCUAAUACAUGCCAGUCGAGCGAACGGACGAGAAGCUUGCUUCUCUGAUGUUAGCGGCGGACGGGUGAGUAACACGUGGAUAACCUACCUAUAAGACUGGGAUAACUUCGGGAAACCGUAGCUAAUACCGGAUAAUAUUUUGAACCGCAUGGUUCAAAAGUGAAAGACGGCCUUGCUGUCACUUAUAGAUGGAUCCGCGCUGCAUUAGCUAGUUGGUAAGGUAACGGCUUACCAAGGCAACGAUGCAUAGCCGACCUGAGAGGGUGAUCGGCCACACUGGGACUGAGACACGGUCCAGACUCCUACGGGAGGCAGCAGUAGGGAAUCUUCCGCAAUGGGCGAAAGCCUGACGGAGCAACGCCGCGUGAGUGAUGAAGGUCUUCGGAUCGUAAAACUCUGUUAUUAGGGAAGAACAUAUGUGGAAGUAACUGUGCACAUCUUGACGGUACCUAAUCAGAAAGCCACGGCUAACUACGUG